rnacentral:rRNA from 1 species
UCGGUAGGGUAACCUUUAUGGAGCCAGCCGCCGAAGGUGGGACAGAUAAUUGGGGUGAAGUCGUAACAAGGUAGCCGUAUCGGAAGGUGCGGCUGGAUCACCUCCUUU